AUACGUAGGGUGCGAGCGUUGUCCGGAAUUACUGGGCGUAAAGAGCUCGUAGGUGGUUUGUCGCGUCGUCUGUGAAAUUCCGGGGCUUAACUCCGGGCGUGCAGGCGAUACGGGCAUAACUUGAGUACUGUAGGGGAGACUGGAAUUCCUGGUGUAGCGGUGAAAUGCGCAGAUAUCAGGAGGAACACCGGUGGCGAAGGCGGGUCUCUGGGCAGUAACGGACGCUGAGGAGCGAAAGCAUGGGUAGCGAACAGGAUUAGAUACCCUGGGAGUCCAUGCCGUAAACGGUGGGCGCUAGGUGUAGGGGUCUUCCACGACUUCUGUGCCGUAGCUAACGCAUUAAGCGCCCCGCCUGGGGAGUACGGCCGCAAGGCUAAAACUCAAAUGAAUUGACGGGG
rnacentral:rRNA from 1 species